rnacentral:sRNA from 1 species
UAUCUCUCCGUACGGGGAAGGAUGAGAAGCUUCGACUAAGGUUCGAUUCGAGCGCAGCGAGAAAGCGUUGCCGCAGGCAACGACCCGAAGGGCGAAGCGCGCAGCGCUGAG